rnacentral:rRNA from 1 species
UACGUAGGGUCCGAGCGUUGUCCGGAAUUAUUGGGCGUAAAGCGCGCGCAGGCGGUCCUUUAAGUCGGAUGUGAAAUCCCUCGGCUCAACCGAGGAACUGCAUCCGAUACUGGCGGGCUUGAAUCCGGGAGAGGGAUGUGGAAUUCCAGGUGUAGCGGUGAAAUGCGUAGAUAUCUGGAGGAACACCGGUGGCGAAGGCGGCAUCCUGGACCGGUAUUGGACGCUGAGGCGCGAAAGCUGAGGGGAGCAAACGGGG